UGGAAGUAAAAGUCGUAACAAGGUCUCCGUUGGUGAACCAGCGGAGGGAUCAUUACCGAGUUUACAACUCCCAAACCCCAAUGUGAACGUUACCAAUCUGUUGCCUCGGCGGGAUUCUCUGCCCCGGGCGCGUCGCAGCCCCGGAUCCCAUGGCGCCCGCCGGAGGACCAACUCAAACUCUUUUUUCUCUCCGUCGCGGCUUCCGUCGCGGCUCUGUUUUACCUUUGCUCUGAGCCUUUCUCGGCGACCCUAGCGGGCGUCUCGAAAAUGAAUCAAAACUUUCAACAACGGAUCUCUUGGUUCUGGCAUCGAUGAAGAACGCAGCGAAAUGCGAUAAGUAAUGUGAAUUGCAGAAUUCAGUGAAUCAUCGAAUCUUUGAACGCACAUUGCGCCCGCCAGUAUUCUGGCGGGCAUGCCUGUCCGAGCGUCAUUUCAACCCUCGAACCCCUCCGGGGGGUCGGCGUUGGGGAUCGGCCCCUCACCGGGCCGCCCCCGAAAUACAGUGGCGGUCUCGCCGCAGCCUCUCCUGCGCAGUAGUUUGCACACUCGCACCGGGAGCGCGGCGCGGCCACAGCCGUAAAACACCCCAAACUCUGAAAUGUUGACCUCGGAUCAGGUAGGAAUACCCGCUGAACUUAAGCAUAUCAAUAAGCGGAGGA
rnacentral:rRNA from 1 species